AGCCCUGCGGGGCUCCCACCUGCGGCGGGGGAAGCCUGGCUGCCUCCGUCGUGGUCUGGCCGGCUGGGCCCAGGGCUGUCCUUCCGUUUGAGCAGAGAAGCAAUUUAACCCAUUUAGAAAUAACCAAAUAAAAAGAAGAAAAAGUGUCAUUUUACUCUUCGUUGAUGCAACGCGUAGCACCUGUAACCAAUAUAAGCCAUGAGUUUGCACUGCAGUCUGGAGCCUCGCAGACAGGAAAAGGGCCGGUGGGAUGUCAGCAGCAGCACCGUUGGCCGGGCGCGCGGGCGAGAGGCUCCUCCGCAGCCCGCAGGAGGAGGAGGAAGGACGGCAGCGCCUUCGCGGGAGCAGGGAUGCAGCUUCUGCUGCUCUUCCUGGGUGUCCAGUCCCUGCCCAGCUCAGCGAGCCAAGUUUUCACGUCUAAAAUUACAGCCAUCAAAGCAGUCUUGCAGGUUCAGUGGGAACCUGAGCCCCAGGAUAACCAGCGUGGAAAGCACUGCAUGCUCAGGAGAGGCAUAAAACCGUAUAAACCCCUAUUCUGCAAACUCCAAAAGCUGCUGGAAGAAAAGGCUGCCUUGCCGGCAUUAACCCCGUGGGCAGCUCCCUGCCCGGCAUGCCGAGAGCAGAGCGCGCUGCGUCGGUACGAAACCAGGGCGAGAGGCUGAGCUCAGGCGGGCCAGAGAUUUUAUUGCUCCCAAACCAAGGAGCCUGCUCUGCGGUUUUCAUGAUGGAUCGCUGCCCUUUCGUCUCAUCGUGAUUUGGCUGAAACUCGAGACAGAUGCGUAUCAUCUCUAUGGGCCCGUGGCAUGCCUCAUCUCACUGCUUGACACAAGAACAUACAGCAAGUGCUUCAUGGACAAGAUACAUGUGCUUUGGCUGUAUAAAGUAGUAAUGUUCUUCCUGUAAGAGAAAAAUUUAAUUUUGUCCUGAAUUCCACUAUACCCAAACAGAUCUCCAUUUAUAGCCUGGAUAAUAAAUCAAAGCAACAUGAAGUCUCCUGCA
rnacentral:lncRNA from 1 species